rfam:Actinotalea ferrariae CF5-4 contig81, whole genome shotgun sequence.
GACAAGCCCCCGGGGAGCGCGGACGCGCUGAGAGUGUGGUCGGACCGAGAGGUCGAGCCACUGACCCGUGGAACCUGAUCCGGUUCAUGCCGGCGUAGGGAGCUGGGCGAGGCACUGCUA